GUUUUGAUAGUUUAAACCUAAAACAUUGAUCUUGUAACUCAACACUGACAAAAGUCUCAAAACU
rnacentral:tRNA from 1 species